rnacentral:rRNA from 1 species
GAUGAACGCUGGCGGCGUGCCUAAUACAUGCAAGUCGAGCGAACAGACGAGGAGCUUGCUCCUCUGACGUUAGCGGCGGACGGGUGAGUAACACGUGGAUAACCUACCUAUAAGACUGGGAUAACUUCGGGAAACCGGAGCUAAUACCGGAUAAUAUAUUUAACCGCAUGUUUCAAUAGUGAAAGACGGUUUUGCUGUCACUUAUAGAUGUAUCCGCUCCGCAUUAGCUAGUUGGUAAGGUAACGGCUUACCAAGGCAACGAUGCUUAGCCGACCUGAGAGGGUGAUCGGCAACACUGGAACUGAGAAACGGUCCAGACUCCUACGGGAGGCAGCAGUAGGGAAUCUUCCGCAAUGGGCGAAAGCUUGACGGAGCAACGCCGCGUGAGUGAUGAAGGUCUUCGGAUCGUAAAACUCUGUUAUUAGGGAAGAACAAAUGUGUAAGUAACUAUGCACGUCUUGACGGUACCUAAUCAGAAAGCCACGGCUAACUACGUG